rnacentral:tRNA from 1 species
GGAGAGGUGUCCGAGCGGCUGAUGGAGCUGGUUUCGAAAACCAGUGUGCGGGCGACUGCACCGGGGGUUCGAAUCCCCCCCUCUCCG